rnacentral:rRNA from 1 species
AUGUAUAUAUCUAGUUUUAGGAAACAAGCACACAUGCAUUACUGUGUAUGCAGUAUUGAAGUAUUGAAGUUGCUAACAUUUGACACAAAACAAGCACAAAUACAGUGUUCUAUUUGUUGUCCCCAAGUGCUAACAUUUGACACAAAAAGCAAGGGCAUGUACUGCCUACAAAACACAUUCUGCAGGAGCGCUCACAUGUUUACAGAGAGGUGGGGUAGCUCACCUUCAGCUGCGAUGUGGAGAACCGAAAGUGGGCAGGUCGUCGGGAGGUGGAGCACCGGCGGCGGACGAACCGUAUGGAAGAGGAUGGGUAGUGGUGAGUGGUGA